UUGCGGCUGGAUCACCUCCUUUCUAAGGAUGGCUCUUCAGCAAGCUUGGGUCUUCGGACCAGCGAUCUUCGGAUCAGGCUUCUAUCGAGCUGUUUUAGAAACAUUCAGGGGCCAUCGGAUCGCCAGAUCCCGAUGAGCUCCAUAGGCGGGAUUUCGCCGUCUUCGUUUCUCUUUCUUCGCGGACGAACACGCUGCCUGGGGCUUGGCGCUGUGCGAUGUAUCGGCGUUAAGCCAGGUGUGCGUGCGAGCGAGCUCCGACGUCUCGCAAGAGAUUAAGCGUUAGGGGCUUGUAGCUCAGUUGGUUAGAGCGCGCGCUUGAUAAGCGUGAGGUCGGAAGUUCAAGUCUUCCCAGGCCCACCACUUUCAUCAAGUGAGCAUUCGUCUUCUGGUUACGGGGCCAUAGCUCAGCUGGGAGAGCGCGUGCUUUGCAAGCAUGAGGUCGUCGGUUCGAUCCCGUCUGGCUCCACCAGAUGGUUUGAUUGCCGACGGAGCUUGCGCCUAGGCCUUGCACCAUAAUCGUCCGCGAAACAUCACUUCGCACCCACUAGUCCGGAUGGGACGUGAAGGUGCGUGAUUUCUGACAUCGUAAAGAGGAAAUCGAUCCGAGUUGGGUCGUGCAACAAAUCGUUGCGCGGAGCCUUCAUAACUCCGGAUUAUUUUCGGCGCUUGCUUUCGACCGGUGAGGUGGGCUACGGAAUG
rnacentral:tRNA from 1 species